rnacentral:rRNA from 1 species
CCUACGGGAGGCUGCAGUGGGGAAUAUUGGGCAAUGGGCGCAAGCCUGACCCAGCAACGCCGCGUGAAGGAAGAAGGUCUUCGGGUUGUAAACUUCUUUUAUCAGGGACGAAGAAAGUGACGGUACCUGAGGAAUAAGCCACGGCUAACUACGUGCCAGCAGCCGCGGUAAUACGUAGGUGGCAAGCGUUAUCCGGAUUUACUGGGCGUAAAGGGGGUGUAGGCGGGAAAGCAAGUAAAAGGUGAAAACCAUGGGCUCAACCUGGGGGCUGCUUUUGAAACUGUUUUUCUUGAGUGCAGGAGAGGAAAGAGGAAUUCCUAGUGUAGCGGUGAAAUGCGUAGAUAUUAGGAGGAACAGCAGUGGCGAAGGCGACUUGCUGGACAGUAACUGACGCUGAGGCGCGAAAGCGUGGGGAGCAAACAGGAUUAGAUACCCCAGUAGUC